CUAAAAAGCAAAAAGCUGCUUCUGCUGCUUCACAAGAUUUAUUUGAUGACUUUCAGGUUGAUAACGAAGAGUUGGCGCUAAUCGAGGAUUCAUUGAUGAUUGAUGAUGCUUCUUCGGACAACAAGAAAAAACAGCUACUGUCAGUCAGCAGUGAUGAUGCUUCUUCAGACAACAAGGAAAAACAGCUGCUGUCAGUCAGCAGUGAUUUUAUUUCUUUAGAAGAAGAAGAGAAAGAAAACAUAUCAAAUGGCGGGCAGACCCCCGAAAAAACAUUUGUCCAUGGACAGUGGCAACCACGAAUAUCUCAGUCAGCGGCUGAUAAAGUAAUUGCAAGAAUGUAUAAUUAUUCCUUUUCUGAUCGGGAACGAUAUUAUCUCCGGCUAUUACUUCUUCACGUCAAAGGGCCGACUUGCUUCAGAGAUGUUAGAACUUAUUAAUAUGAAAAUAUUAUUUACACAUCAUUUCGAGAAGCUGCUCAAGCAAAGGGGCUACUUUUUGACGAUCAAGAAUGGGAAAGAUGUUUGGAUGAAGCAAUUGGUUUCAAACUUCCUCGGCAAUUACGACAGCUGUUUGCGUUAAUUUGCGUGUUUUGUGAAGUAGGUAACUGAUCCUAAUGCUCUUUGGGAAAAAUUUGCAUCACAUUUUAUCGAAAACUUUACAAGAUCCCGCCCUGAAAUAUUAUCCAAACAGUUGGCUUUACAAGAAAUUGAUGAAACAUUAAAACUCCACGGAAAGAGACUAACAGAUUUCGGACUUCCGGAGCCAGAUAUUGAUGAAAAUAGUAUUUUCUUAUCUGAUCCCGUUUCUGACUAUUAAUAAGAGUUAUUUACAUAACCUAUAUUAACGAUUGAAUUUGAUUGUUUUGUUAAUUUGUCUUAGUUUAUUUUGAAUGUUGAUUUAAAAUAAAAAUAAUUUGUGUAAAAACAUUUGCAGUUUUUAUUUACCAUAUUUAUUAAACACAACUAACGAAGCUAUAUGAAUCUAUAUUUAAUAUUCUUUGAGAACCGAUGACUACAGAAACAUCUAUCUACAUGUUGCACCUAUAAUUGUGUAUUAUGAGUCAAAUUGCACCCGAGCGAAGCCGGGUUUU